AUCCACGGAGCGUGACGUGCUCUCUUCCCCACGCCCACGCUCACGCUCCCUGGUUUUUAAUUCCCGGUCUCUCAGCGUACUAUAGUAAAUGGAGGGAGGGAAGGGAGCGUGGGAGGCAGUCAUGGCGGGUUUCCCGGUGCCGCCUUAAAAUCUGUGGCGGUGGUGACGAAAGGAACUCCCUGCUCCGGUUCCCUUCAGCCCCUGUUCUCCCCUGUCCCAACAAUUAUGGGCUCCUCUGUUAUUUAAGGGCCUGUUUGCGAGCCCCUUCUUUGCGUAGCUUACAGGCACGCGGCAGAUAUCAUUGUGGUGCGGAAGAAUCCUGUGGAAAGAUGGGAUCUUUGCGCUUCUUUGCUCUGGUUUUCGUGGCUGGAGCAGCGGUUGCGUUCUUUUCCUCCAGCAAUAGAGUCGCCAUUGCUGCAGGUUAUGCCUCGACUGUGCCUGCAAAGGGUGGAGGUGUCAUGGCGAUCAUCACCAACAAGAAAUUGAAGGACGACAGCUUCGACAUCAGCGCCAUGAGAAAUGGAAGGGAUUUAGCAGGUGCAAAUGUGGAGGAUUACUUCCCAUUCGAUACAGUGCCAAGCUCGAAAGCCGCCAUCAAAUCCUGACCAAUCGAACACGGUACUCCUCGCAUGCCAUGUAUCCCCCGGCCAACGCCACCAAGCCAACCCAAGCAUGGAUCAUCUCUCUCAGCAGCUCUGCUUCGUCUAUCACUUAUCAGAUCUGUAGGUGUACUGUUAAUUACUAAGUUUCUGGUGUUGUAAGACUCAUCAGGAUAAACCAAGUACGGCAAGCUACUACGACUCUCUUGUA